rnacentral:rRNA from 1 species
UACGGAGGGCGCGAGCGUUAAUCGGAAUUACUGGGCGUAAAGCGCGCGUAGGCUGUUGUGUAAGUUGGGGGUGAAAUCCCACGGCUCGACCGUGGAACAGCCCUUGAUACUGCGCGACUUGAAUCCGGGAGAGGGUGGCGGAAUUCCAGGUGUAGGAGUGAAAUCCGUAGAUAUCUGGAGGAACAUCAGUGGCGAAGGCGGCCACCUGGACCGGUAUUGACGCUGAGGCACGAAAGCGUGGGGAGCAAACAGG